AAAAAAAGAAUUUGUGUCUAUGACAUAAAGUGACUGACGACUUGACGACUGUCGAACAGUGUUUUUACGCCUACUGUUAUUUGUAAUUUUUUACAUAUUUUUAAUUAAAUCUUUAAGAUAAAAACUCCCUAUCUUAUAAAGUUGAAGGCCUUCGUAGUUCAAACUUUGUCAACAUGAAGAAAAAGGUACUGUUAAUGGGUAAGAGUGGCUCAGGGAAGACAAGUAUGAGGUCCAUAAUUUUCGCCAACUACAUCGCAAGAGACACCAGACGGCUGGGCGCUACAAUCGACGUGGAGCACUCUCACGUGCGCUUCCUGGGCAACCUGGUGCUCAACCUGUGGGACUGUGGCGGCCAGGAAGCUUUCAUGGAAAAUUAUUUUGCUUCUCAAAGAGACAACAUUUUUCGAAAUGUUGAAGUACUUAUAUAUGUGUUUGAUGUGGAGAGUAGAGAAAUGGAAAAGGACAUGCAUUACUAUCAGUCCUGCUUGGAAGCUAUUCUUCAGAACUCACCGGAAGCUAGGAUAUUCUGUCUGGUGCACAAAAUGGACUUGAUAGCAGAAGAAUCGAGGGAGGAAAUAUUUAAGGAAAGGGAAGAAGAUCUGAAGCGACUCUCCAAACCCUUAGAGUGCACUUGUUUUCGGACCAGUAUAUGGGAUGAAACAUUAUAUAAGGCAUGGUCAAGCAUAGUAUAUAAACUUAUACCUAAUGUUAAAGCUUUAGAAUCUUCAUUGAAACAAUUCGCCUCAAUUGUGGAUGCUGAUGAAGUGCUGCUGUUCGAGCGCGCGACGUUCCUGGUGGUGUCGCACUGCCAGCGGCGCGCGCACCGCGACGCGCACCGCUUCGAGAAGGUCUCCAACAUCGUGAAGCAGUUCAAGCUCUCCUGCUCGAAGCUCGCCGCGCAGUUCCAGAGCAUGGAGGUCCGCAACAGCGUGUUCGCAGCGUUCAUCGACGGGUUCACGAGCAACACGUACGUGAUGGUGGAGAUGUCGGACCCGCGCAUCCCGUCCGAGGCCACGCUCAUCAACAUCCGCAACGCGCGCAAGCACUUCGAGAAGCUGGAGAAGGUGUCGUCCAGCGCGCCCCCACACUACCAGUGAACCGCCGCCACGCCCCGCCACGCCCGCCGCACAACACUCUCUAUCUAUAUAUGAGGGCUUUUAGGAACUAUAUUAGGUGAGUCCAUACGCUUCCGAGAGCUUACACCUAGUGGAGGAGGCUUACACCUAAGGGUGCUGAUGACUCGCGGACAGAAGAAUGUAAUAGCGUUCGUUGAACAAUUCGCCCGAAUGCCCGAUGUUCUGCUC